rnacentral:rRNA from 1 species
AGCUUAACCGUAUAGGGUAGGCGUAGCGAAAGCGAGUCUUAAUAGGGCGUUUAGUCGCUGGGUAUAGACCCGAAACCGGGCGAUCUAUCCAUGAGCAGGUUGAAGGUUAGGUAACACUGACUGGAGGACCGAACCCACUCCCGUUGAAAAGGUAGGGGAUGACUUGUGGAUCGGAGUGAAAGGCUAAUCAAGCUCGGAGAUAGCUGGUUCUCCUCGAAAGCUAUUUAGGUAGCGCCUCAUGUAUCACUCUGGGGGGUAGAGCACUGUUUCGGCUAGGGGGUCAUCCCGACUUACCAAACCGAUGCAAACUCCGAAUACCCAGAAGUGCCGAGCAUGGGAGAC